UACAGAGGCCUCGAGCGUUAGGCGGAAUCACUGGGCUUAAAGCGCGUGUAGGCGGAUUCCUAAGUGUCUUGUGAAAUCCCACGGCUCAACCGUGGAACCGCUGGGCAUACUGGGAAUCUUGGGCCACUCAGGGGCAACCGGAACAAGCGGUGGAGCGGUGAAAUGCGUAGAUAUCGCUUGGAACGCCAAAGGUGAAGACAGGUUGCUGGGGGUGUGCCGACGCUGAGACGCGAAAGCCAGGGGAGCGAACGGG
rnacentral:rRNA from 1 species